rnacentral:ncRNA from 1 species
AACCUUAACUUUCUUGAUAUGAAGUUCAAGGUUAUGAUAUAAUGUGCCCAGUGGGCCACUUUUGGUAAGCAGAACUGGGGCUGUGGGAUGAACCAAACGUAAUGUUACGGUGCCCAAAUUAACAACUCAUGCAGAUACCAUGAAAGGCGUUGGUUGCUUAAAACAGCAGGACGGUGAUCAUGGAAGUCGAAAUCGGCUAAGGAGUGUGUAACAACUCACCUGCCGAAGCAACUAGCCCUUAAAAUGGAUGGCGCUUAAGUUGUAUACCUAUACAUUACCGCUAAAGUAGAUGAUUUAUAUUACUUGUGAUAUAAAUUUUGAAACUUUAGUGAGUAGGAAGGUACAAUGGUAUGCGUAGAAGCGUUUGGCGUAAGCCUGCAUGGAGCUGCCAUUGGCACAGAUCUUGGUGGUAGUAGCAAAAUAAUCGAAUGAGACCUUGGAGGACUGAAGUGGAGAAGGGUCAGCGUGUGAACAGUGGUUGAUCACGAGUUAGUCGGUCCUAGAAU